UACGGAGGGUGCAAGCGUUGCUCGGAAUGACUGGGCGUAAAGGGCGUGUAGGCGGUUUUUACAGUUAGAUGUGAAAUCCCCGGGCUUAACCUGGGAGCUGCAUUUAAUACGUGCAGACUAGAGUGUGAGAGAGGGUUGUGGAAUUCCUAGCGUAGAGGUGAAAUUCGUAGAUAUUGGGAAGAACACCGGUGGCGAAGGCGGCAACCUGGCUCAUUACUGACGCUGAGGCGCGAAAGCGUGGGGAGCAAACAGG
rnacentral:rRNA from 1 species